rnacentral:rRNA from 1 species
CUGACGAGCACGCCGCGUGAGUGAGAAGGUUUUCGGAUCGUAAAGCUCUGUUGUAAGAGAAGAACGGGUGUGAGAGUGGAAAGUUCACACUGUGACGGUAUCUUACCAGAAAGGGACGGCUAACUACGUGCCAGCAGCCGCGGUAAUACGUAGGUCCCGAGCGUUGUCCGGAUUUAUUGGGCGUAAAGCGAGCGCAGGCGGUUAGAUAAGUCUGAAGUUAAAGGCUGUGGCUUAACCAUAGUAUGCUUUGGAAACUGUUUAACUUGAGUGCAGAAGGGGAGAGUGGAAUUCCAUGUGUAGCGGUGAAAUGCGUAGAUAUAUGGAGGAACACCGGUGGCGAAAGCGGCUCUCUGGUCUGUAACUGACGCUGAGGCUCGAAAGCGUGGGGAGCAAACA